rnacentral:lncRNA from 1 species
UUUAGUUUCUUUUCCUGGUUUAUCUGCACAUGUGCAGAUAACCAAGCUGCAAAUUCCCAGCAGAUUUCAGAGGCCACACUUACUUGCUGUGUGCACUAAUCCACAAACACCAUGCCAUGCAGCUCAGUCUGCUACACCAACUCCUUCUGACUCGAGGAAAUCUUGACAAACAACAGGAUAUCCCCAAAGAGGAAGGCAUGGGAGUCAGGAUCUUUCUCACUCCUUCCAAGAAAGAGGAUUAAAAAUGUUGGUGUCUUCCCUCCAUGGUCUUCAGGUACACAUCCUGGUCUGCUCCAAGCUGUCCUCCCGCUGUCCUGGCCCGCUGCUGCACCUUCCAAUACUCAUUUUCUUGUCUGGAAAUGGUAGCUGGACUCAAGUCUUGUCUGAUUUUCAGAAGCAUAUAUCAUUCCUCAAAUAUAAGAUGUACUUCAAACGUGUAUUAGGAGCCAGUGAGCUAAACCUCUGCAAUAUGGAUAAGGUUUACAAUACACUAUUCACCUUCCCUAGAAGAUUCAACACAGGAAUGCAUAACACAAGUGACCAGACCAAGCAUCUGAGAACUUGUGUGUUUUUGAUAUCUCUGAUGAGAAUGGAAAAGCUCUGCAUGUCCUCACUCAUGCAAGUGAGGAAGAGCAACCAUGAACUGCCAUGGAGAAUGAAUCGAUUUGAAGCACAUGAAGAGUGA